UGCUGCGCAGAUUCACAUUGGGGAAGUGAUAAACAGUUCGCUAUUAGGGAGCCAGUAUAUUUCUGGACUUCACUAAACCCACGAGGAACGUGAGUUUUGCUUCCUUCGACUGCAAAGCAUUUGCUAGGCCAGUACAGACUUCCUGGUGUGAUUCGUGUUCUGUGCUGCGUGCCGAGAAUGUGUAAGCGUUUUGCUCCCGUCUGCAAGAACACUUGAGCAUGCAGUUCCAAUGUUUCAAACCACAAUUUUCCGAAAGGCGAAAGAGAAGUCUAUUGACUGCAACAAUCGGUUACAACUCCGACUGGGUGCCACCUUCGAAAGGAGCGCUUUGAUCUGUUCAUCUGGCUCAUACGAAUGUUACGGAAGCAAUGCGCAACUUGUUUCACAAGAAGCCGAAGAUGUCUCGUCCUGGAUGCUGUGCCAACCUUAUCUGCAGCAGGAGAUUGCAGGGGCAGGACUAGGUAGCAGAUAAAGGCAUGCUGGCACAACCGAAAAGCUUGCACUCCACGUCUCAACUAUCACCGUCUGGGUUUCAAGCUGAAGGCUGCCACCAGUGCCAACCAGACGCCCCUUCAAAGUUCAUCUGUUUUUGUUGACGGAACAGUGACACCUGAGCGCUCGAGGACAGUUCAAGCAGUUUCAUGUGUGCAACAGCACAUACUUUUUCUCAGUUUUGACUAAGGUAAAUCGAAAUCUUCCAGUUGAUGUCUUUUGGUCAUAAAUUAUGUUUUUCGAGACAUUCAAACAGCAUCAUGUGUGCAACAGUGUAUACUUUUUCUGAGGUGAAGUAAGGUAAAUCUGUCCGCCGUGGUGUUCUGGCAGUGCAGCAGAAGCUUGUGUUGCAUUCAAGUGGUAUCAUGUAUACAAAAACUUGUUUUAUGCCUUUCUGUAGCUGCUGUACUAAUAUUGCGAGUACAGAGACAUUCCUGCAGAACAUAUCGGAGCAUCAUGUAUGCUAUUGUUUGUAUCAUCUGCAGCAGUAUAUUGAUAAUGUUAAUUAUUCAAUGACUUCAGCUAACAUUUACAUUCUUACUUCCAGGUAAACCUGUCACGCAGAUGCCCUACCCCUUGGUAUGCAUAGUUCAAGAUUGUACCGAAACAAUCCACCUGGAGCAUUAUUCUUCAAUUGGCAGUGGCAUUACUAUCACAACACACCACAUACUGCAUGUUUAUGGUGCGUGCACAAUGCAUCAAACCUAUUCUCAGGUACAGGCCAGCUGGUACGCAAUUACAACAUGAAACAACUGACACAGAGACCGUAAAGUCAUGCCUUUUCCUCCGCGCCUCGGGUUUCAUGUUAUUAUCCUCACAUGCAGCUCAAUUCGCCUGUGCUGUGCAGCAUGAGCAAAAGCAUAUAUUGUUUGUGGUCACAUGACACGGAACAUAAAUACAGUGAAACCUUCGUAUGUUGGACACCCGCGGUGCAGCCGAAGCGUCUCCUACGUAUAGAGGUGUCCGAUUUACAGAAUAUGACGGCAACAAAAAAUGGAAGAGAUCACAGCUGUGAGAAAUGUCCCCCUUCUUCAAUUUAAGGUCCUUAGUGGUACCUGGUGGUGGUGCCUGGUAGUGGUACCUCUACCCACUCUUGACUGAUAAUUAUUACUGAUUUUAGUAUAUUCAAUUCCGUUCAGAUUCUACUCAAUGGCAUUACCUCUGGAGCUUUUCGAGCAGCAAGGACUUGUCUCUGAAGCGUCAGCCCACUUCUGAUAGCUUUGGUGCAGUGCUCGUUCAAAGGCUCUAGACAAACUGAAGACAAGUGCUCACAUAAAGAAUUACAAUGUAGACUGACAGCACUUGUUUUUGGACUCUAAAAACUAAAGCAACAAAAUGCUGUGACCAGUAUAGGGAAAAAAGGGGCAAAAGUCAAGGCCACUUGCUCAUUUUGGGUCUUUUUGGUGCAAAGAUGGGCCGAUAUUGAGGUAAUUUGGCCAGGGUUUUGUCCGACUUUGCAGGGAAAACCCUAUCCUACUUCCAAGAUAGGGAGGUGUCCGACAUAGAGAAUUUCGUCCCCAUGUAGUUUCAAUGGGAGCCUGCCCGUGCAAUGAAAUCAUGGGGAGUUGUCCGAGGUAGGGAGGUGUCCGACUUUGGAGGUUUUACUGUACUAUAGAGCAUUCUACAUCAUGUAAUCUAACAGUUGUUCACGUUUGGAUAUUUUCACCAUGGAAUUUACCCUGCAUGCACCAUACCAUGUCCAAACACUAACAACUGCUAGAGAGCAGCAUGUACUGUUUCCGUAUAGCACUUAUGGCUUGCGUCCUGUGAUCGGGAACAGUGAUGUCUUUUUUCUGCUACAAUCAGUAAACUACAGUAAAGAUUUAGAAAUACUGUGUCAUACCAUAAAGCACUAUGGGAAAUGGCAGUUUGAAAAACUGGAGAAGACUGUCAUUAGAAUGGGGGACAUGUUCUACGGUGAAAUUUUUUAGUGUGUGUGCUGUACCACGUAUGUACUGCAGGCAUACCACAGUAUGGUAACGCUCUGAAUACUAAUUUGCUCAAAAAAGGAAUGUGUGUGUUUCUUGUACUAACUUCCCCUUACGCAAGGUUGUAGAAAAAUGUUUUCAGCUAAUGGGGAGGGAGAGGACAUCAUUCUGGAGUCUCGUUGACCUACAGUGUGUCGUGUGUGAAGGCCAUUUUGAAGAGUGUAGGUGGUAAAAGACUGUGUUCCCCCAUUCUUGGCAGUUGGCCAGGACAUUCUUGGACCACAUUUGUUGCUUCAUAUAUUUGUGUCAUGGCAAAGUAUGUAGAGAUACAUCUGUCUCAACAUGCAGGUGCGAAAACUGCUUUUUCUGCCUAAAACAUGACAAAUAGUUGUCUGUUCAACACCACUAAUCAUGUGCCGGCCUCCAUGACCUGUCUGUGACAUUCCAAAGUGAUUAACAUGUCCCAUAGAUGUGUGCAAUGCUGAAGAUGAUUGUGUAUCUUCUAUGGAUUCUUGUUUCAAGAAAAGUACUGUGUGAUUUGCUAACAGCACCUAGCUGUACCUUCACAAUUCUACAUAAAAAUAUGUCAAGUUUCCGGAAGGAAACAUCAUGAAGGUCCAUAGCGAAAAACCCUGAGACGAGGGAUAGGAAGGGACAUACACAAUGUCUCAACAUAGCGUGUUUAUGUCCCUUCUUGUAUCUCCUCUUCAGGUUUCGCCAUCAUGGUCACUAUCACCAGCUCGCUUGCUGUUGAACCGUUCUUUCAACGAUAAGGGUCACUUUCAUGGACUGGAUGGCAGCCAACAUGCUGUCAAUAAAAAGAAUAAUGGAAGGAGCUAAAUAUGAUCCUUAGGCCUGCGUGGUCAUUGCUUUCUGACAAAUGGUGACUUAGAAUUUCAGGACAGUGCCUGCAGUGGUAGUAUUCUUGUGUUCUCACCCUUGACGCCCAUUGUGUGUCAUCGGUCACCUGUAAUCUGCUAAUAUGCACAUAGCUAAAACAAAGUAUAUUUCUAUUUCUUUGAAUACAGUUGGUACAGCACAUUGUUUUUUACAUGUUCUAUAGAAAAUAUAAAUAAAAAAUUCCCUACUC